rnacentral:rRNA from 1 species
AGAGUUUGAUCCUGGCUCAGAAUGAACGUUGGCGGCGUGGAUUAGGCAUGCAAGUCGAACGAGUCUCUGGGGGGUAACUCCUAGAGGAAAGUGGCGAAAGGGGCAGUAAUGUAUGGGUAACCUACCUUGAGGUCUGGGAUAGCCAUUCUAACGGAUGGGUAAUACUGGACGGCCUGAGUUGUCGGCAUCGAUGAUUUAGUAAAGGUUACGCCUCGAGAGGGGCCCAUAUGAUAUUAGCUAGUUGGUGAGGUAAUGGCUCACCAAGGCAAAGAUGUCUAGCGGGUGUGAGAGCACGACCCGCGUCACUGGCACUGAGACACUGGCCAGACUCCUACGGGAGGCUGCAGUCGAGGAUCUUCGGCAAUGGACGAAAGUCUGACCGAGCAACGCCGCGUGUGCGAUGAAGGCCUUCGGGUUGUAAAGCACUGUCGAGGGGAAACAAGCCGUAAGGUUGAGUGACCCCUGGAGGAAGCACGGGCUAAGUUCGUGCCAGCAGCCGCGGUAAGACGAACCGUGCAAACGUUAUUCGGAAUCACUGGGCUUAAAGGGCGCGUAGGCGGGUAAUCAAGUCAAUGGUGAAAGCCUCCAGCUUAACUGGAGAAGUGCCUUUGAUACUGAUUGUCUAGAGUGAGGUAGGGGCAUGUGGAACUUCCGGUGGAGCGGUGAAAUGCGUAGAUAUCGGAAGGAACGCCAGUGGCGAAAGCGAUGUGCUGGACCUUUUCUGACGCUGAGGCGCGAAAGCUAGGGGAUCAAACGGGAUUAGAUACCCUGGUAGUCC